GAUGAACGCUGGCGGCGUGCCUAAUACAUGCAAGUCGAGCGAACAGACGAGGAGCUUGCUCCUCUGACGUUAGCGGCGGACGGGUGAGUAACACGUGGAUAACCUACCUAUAAGACUGGGAUAACUUCGGGAAACCGGAGCUAAUACCGGAUAAUAUAUUGAACCGCAUGGUUCAAUAGUGAAAGACGGUUUUGCUGUCACUUAUAGAUGGAUCCGCGCCGCAUUAGCUAGUUGGUAAGGUAACGGCUUACCAAGGCGACGAUGCGUAGCCGACCUGAGAGGGUGAUAGGCCACACUGGAACUGAGAAACGGUCCAGACUCCUACGGGAGGCAGCAGUAGGGAAUCUUCCGCAAUGGGCGAAAGCCUGACGGAGCAACGCCGCGUGAGUGAUGAAGGUCUUCGGAUCGUAAAACUCUGUGAUUAGGGAAGAACAAAUGUGUAAGUAACUAUGCACGUCUUGACGGUACCUAAUCAGAAAGCCACGGCUAACUACGUG
rnacentral:rRNA from 1 species